rnacentral:rRNA from 3 species
AAAAAAGGUAAGCUACUAAGAGCGAAUGGUGGAUGCCUUGACUGGUAAAGGCGAUGAAGGACGUACUAGACUGCGAUAAGCUACGGGGAGCUGUCAAGAAGCUUUGAUCCGUAGAUUUCCGAAUGGGGCAACCCAAUGUAUAGAGAUAUACAUUACCUAUAUAGGAGCGAACGAGGGGAAUUGAAACAUCUUAGUACCCUCAGGAAAAGAAAUCAAUAGAGAUUGCGUCAGUAGCGGCGAGCGAAAGCGUAAGAGGGCAAACCCAGUGCUUGCACUGGGGGUUGUAGGACUGCAAUGUGCAAGAGGUGAGUUUAGCAGAACAUUCUGGAAAGUAUAGCCAUAGAGGGUGAUAGUCCCGUAUGCGAAAAACAAACCUUAGCUAGCAGUAUCCUGAGUAGGGCGGGACACGAGAAAUCCUGUCUGAAGCUGGGUCGACCACGAUCCAACCCUAAAUACUAAUACCAGAUCGAUAGUGCACAAGUACCGUGAGGGAAAGGUGAAAAGAACUGAGGUGAUCAGAGUGAAAUAGAACCUGAAACCAUUUGCUUACAAUCAUUCAGAGCACUAUGUAGCAAUACAGUGUGAUGGACUGCCUUUUGCAUAAUGAGCCUGCGAGUUGUGGUGUCUGGCAAGGUUAAGCAAACGCGAAGCCGUAGCGAAAGCGAGUCUGAAUAGGGCGCUUAGUCAGAUGCUGCAGACCCGAAACGAAGUGAUCUAUCCAUGAGCAAGUUGAAGCUAGUGUAAGAACUAGUGGAGGACUGAACCCAUAGGCGUUGAAAAGCCCCGGGAUGACUUGUGGAUAGGGGUGAAAGGCCAAUCAAACUUCGUGAUAGCUGGUUCUCUCCGAAAUAUAUUUAGGUAUAGCGUUGUGUCGUAAUAUAAGGGGGUAGAGCACUGAAUGGGCUAGGGCAUACACCAAUGUACCAAACCCUAUCAAACUCCGAAUACCUUAUAUGUAAUCACAGCAGUCAGGCGGCGAGUGAUAAAAUCCGUCGUCAAGAGGGAAACAACCCAGACUACCAGCUAAGGUCCCUAAAUCUUACUUAAGUGGAAAACGAUGUGAAGUUACUUAAACAACCAGGAGGUUGGCUUAGAAGCAGCCAUCCUUUAAAGAAAGCGUAAUAGCUCACUGGUCUAGUGAUUUUGCGCGGAAAAUAUAACGGGGCUAAAGUAAGUACCGAAGCUGUAGACUUGAUUUUAUCAAGUGGUAGGAGAGCGUUCUAUUUGCGCCGAAGGUAUACCGGUAAGGAGUGCUGGAGCGAAUAGAAGUGAGCAUGCAGGCAUGAGUAGCGAUAAUUAAUGUGAGAAUCAUUAACGCCGUAAACCCAAGGUUUCCUACGCGAUGCUCGUCAUCGUAGGGUUAGUCGGGUCCUAAGUCGAGUCCGAAAGGGGUAGACGAUGGCAAAUUGGUUAAUAUUCCAAUACCAACAUUAGUGUGCGAUGGAAGGACGCUUAGGGCUAAGGGGGCUAGCGGAUGGAAGUGCUAGUCUAAGGUCGUAGGAGGUUAUACAGGCAAAUCCGUAUAACAAUACUCCGAGAACUGAAAGGCUUUUUGAAGUCUUCGGAUGGAUAGAAGAACCCCUGAUGCCGUCGAGCCAAGAAAAGUUUCUAAGUUUAGCUAAUGUUGCCCGUACCGUAAACCGACACAGGUGGGUGGGAUGAGUAUUCUAAGGCGCGUGGAAGAACUCUCUUUAAGGAACUCUGCAAAAUAGCACCGUAUCUUCGGUAUAAGGUGUGGUUCGCUUCGUAUUAGGAUUUACUCCGAAAGCGAAGAAACUUACAACAAAGAGUCCCUCCCGACUGUUUACCAAAAACACAGCACUCUGCUAACUCGUAAGAGGAUGUAUAGGGUGUGACGCCUGCCCGGUGCUCGAAGGUUAAUUGAUGGGGUUAGCAUUAGCGAAGCUCUUGAUCGAAGCCCGAGUAAACGGCGGCCGUAACUAUAACGGUCCUAAGGUAGCGAAAUUCCUUGUCGGUUAAAUACCGACCUGCAUGAAUGGCGUAACGAGAUGGGAGCUGUCUCAAAGAGGGAUCCAGUGAAAUUGUAGUGGAGGUGAAAAUUCCUCCUACCCGCGGCAAGACGGAAAGACCCCGUGGACCUUUACUACAGCUUGACACUGCUAUUUGGAUAAGAAUGUGCAGGAUAGGUGGGAGGCUUUGAGUAUAUGACGCCAGUUGUAUAUGAGCCAUUGUUGAGAUACCACUCUUUCUUAUUUGGGUAGCUAACCAGCUUGAGUUAUCCUCAAGUGGGACAAUGUCUGGUGGGUAGUUUGACUGGGGCGGUCGCCUCCCAAAUAAUAACGGAGGCUUACAAAGGUUGGCUCAGAACGGUUGGAAAUCGUUCGUAGAGUAUAAAGGUAUAAGCCAGCUUAACUGCAAGACAUACAAGUCAAGCAGAGACGAAAGUCGGUCUUAGUGAUCCGGUGGUUCUGUGUGGAAGGGCCAUCGCUCAAAGGAUAAAAGGUACCCCGGGGAUAACAGGCUGAUCUCCCCCAAGAGCUCACAUCGACGGGGAGGUUUGGCACCUCGAUGUCGGCUCAUCGCAUCCUGGGGCUGGAGCAGGUCCCAAGGGUAUGGCUGUUCGCCAUUUAAAGCGGUACGCGAGCUGGGUUCAGAACGUCGUGAGACAGUUCGGUCCCUAUCUGCCGUGGGCGUAAGAAGAUUGAAGAGAUUUGACCCUAGUACGAGAGGACCGGGUUGAACAAACCACUGGUGUAGCUGUUGUUCUGCCAAGAGCAUCGCAGCGUAGCUAAGUUUGGAAAGGAUAAACGCUGAAAGCAUCUAAGCGUGAAGCCAACUCUAAGAUGAAUCUUCUCUAAGCUCUCUAGAAGACUACUAGUUUGAUAGGCUGGGUGUGUAAUGGAUGAAAGUCCUUUAGCUGACCAGUACUAAUAGAGCGUUUGGCUUAUCUUUAAUAAAGCAU